CUUGGUCAUUUAGAGGAAGUAAAAGUCGUAACAAGGUUUCCGUAGGUGAACCUGCGGAAGGAUCAUUCAUAAUCAAGUGUUUUUAUGGCACUUUAAAAAUCCAUAUCCACCUUGUGUGCAAUGUCAUCUCACUGGAAGGUCACGGCUGUAAAAAUCCGGCGGCCAACCUUUGGGAUUUAUAUCUACUCAGAACUUUAGUGAUUUUGUCUGAAACAUAUUAUGAAUAACUUAAUUCAAAAUACAACUUUCAACAACGGAUCUCUUGGCUCUCGCAUCGAUGAAGAACGCAGCGAAAUGCGAUACGUAAUGUGAAUUGCAGAAUUCAGUGAAUCAUCGAAUCUUUGAACGCAUAUUGCGCUCUCUGGUAUUCCGGAGAGCAUGCUUGUUUGAGUAUCAGUAAACACCUCAACUCCUUUUUCUUUUUUGAAAUUGGAGCUGGACUUGAGUGAUCCCAACGCUUUCUUCCAAGAAAGUGGCGGGUUGCUUGAAAUGCAGGUGCAGCUGAACUUUUCUCUGAGCUAUAAGCAUAUCUAUUUAGUCUGCCAAAACAGAUUAUUACCUUUGCUGCAGCUAACAUAAAGGAGACUAGUUCUUGUGCUGACUGAUGCAGGAUUCACAGAGACAGCUUCGGCUGACUUUGUAAACUCGAUCUCAAAUCAAGUAAGACUACCCGCUGAACUUAAGCAUAUCAAUAAGCGGAGGA
rnacentral:rRNA from 1 species